UAAUCAAUUUUUCGAAAUACCAAUGGGUACUCUCAUAGCUUCAGCACAAUUACAGUCCAAUACCAAUCGUGAAAAUCUCUUCCAUUCGCGUCUUCUCCCUCUACUCUGCUGCUCUCUUUCAUAGACUUGGAUCAAAAGUUCAAAACCCCGGGCUGGAUAUCGAAAUAAGUAUAGAAACUGGCCAUUGAUUUCAAUUCAUAUAUCUAAUAGACUCUUAAUUUGCGAGACCCAGAGUGAUCAUGGAUUUCCUUUUGUGCCAAAGUUUGAUAUCCAGCACGAGUGCGCUUCUCAAUGCCGCUAUGUUGUUAGAGAUGAUAUCGAUAUAGUUCUCAGAUUCGUUCACCAUGCUCAGUUUCCCAAUUCGUGACCUGGGUAAACUUGUCUUUGGCCAUCAUAACUAUAUGGUGAACAAUUAGUUGAUUUGAGAUGUAUAGAGGUGUCUGUUGUAAUUAGAGUGGAUAUUGCAAUUCUGGUAAAUGUUGAGAAACUAUGUUUGUAAAAUCUCUACCGAGCUCCUGAUCAUAGAUAGAAAUGAACUUAGUAUGACUCUGAUAGAUUUGAUUACAUGAUGCGGAAUGCAAUUUUACAUGAUGAAGAAAUUGACUUGA